GUGUAGGCGAUAGAAAUUUUAUCCUGGUGCUACAUAUACAGUACCGUAAGGGAAAGAUGAAAAAUAAUUAACCAAGCACAAAAUAGCAAGGACUCACCCCUAUACCUUCUGCAUAAUGAAUUAACUAGAAACAGUUUCGCAAAGGGAACUAAAGCCAAAUUCCCCGAAACCAGAGGAGCUACCCAAAAACAGCUAAAAGAGCAUGCCUGUCUAUGUGGCAAAAUAGUGGGAAGAGUUAUGGGUAGAGGUGAUAAGCCUACCAAGCCUGGUGAUAGCUGGUUAUCCAAGAUAGAAUCUUAGUUCAACCUUAAGUUUACCUACAGAAUCACUUAAUCCCCCUGUAAGCUUAUUUGUUAGUCUAAAGAGGGAUAGCUCUUUAGACACUAGGAAAAAACCUUAUAUAGAGAGUAAAAAACCCAGUUCCCAUAGUUGGCCCAAAAGCAGCCAUCAAUUAAGAAAGCAUUCAAGCUCAACAUCAACUAUCUAAAAAAAUUCCAAGCAUCUUACUGAACUCCUCACAUCACAAUGGAUUAAUCUAUUAUCUCAUAGAAGCAACAAUGCUAAUAUAAGUAACAUGAAUAUUUUCUCCACUGCAUAAGACUACAUCAGACUGAAAAACUUCACUGAUGCUUAACAGCCUAAUAUUAAUAAAUACAAACAAGCUAGUAUUAUUUAUACUGUUAACCCAACACAGGCAUGCUUUUAAGGAAAGGUUAAAAAAAGUAAAAGGAACUCGGCAAACUCAACACUGCCGGUUUACCAAAAACAUCACCUCUAGCAUUACCAGUAUUAGAGGCACUGCCUGCCCAGUGACACAUGUUUAAUGGCCGCGGUACCCUGACUGUACAAAGGUAGCAUAAUCACUUGUUCCUUAAAAAGGGACUUGCAUGAAUGACACCACGAGGGUUCAACUGUCCCUUACUUUCAACCAGUGAAAUUGACCUGCCCAUGAAGAGGCGGACAUAAAAUAAUAAGACGAGAAGACCCUAUGGAGCUUUAAUUUAUUAAUGCAAUCAAAACCAUAUAAAUCUGUGGAUCCUUAAACCACCACACCUGCAUUAAAAAUUUUGGUGGGGGUGACUUUGGAGCACAACUAAACCUCCAAAUAGCCUACGCUAAGACUACACAAGCCAAGGUGAGCCAACAUCCAUAAUUGAUCCAACAACUUGACCAGCGGAACAAGUUACCCUAGGGAUAACAGCGCAAUCCUAUUCUAGAGUCCAUAUCGACAAUAGGGUUUAUGACCUCGAUGUUGGAUCAGGACAUCCUAAUGGUGCAGCAGCUAUCAAGGGUUCGUUUGUUCAAUGAUUAAGGUCCUACGUGAUCUGAGUUCAGACCGGAGCAAUCCAGGUCGGUUUCUAUCUAUUCUAUAUUUCUCCUUGUAUGAAAGGAUAAGAGAAAUAGGGCCUACUUCA
rnacentral:rRNA from 1 species